rnacentral:tRNA from 1 species
GAAGGUACAGCCCAGUGGUAGAGCAUGUGCUUAGCACGCAGGAGAUCUUGGGUUCAAUCCCCAGUAUCUCCA